CGCGGAGGCGCAGGGGCCUGCGCUGCUGCCCCGGGCACUCCUAGCCCUUUCCCAGCCAGAGCAGCGGAGGGAGACGGGGCGAGCUGGCCGCGAAUGGCCGCAGGGGAAGGUGGCGCGGAGCACCUGUCAGCUGCCAGAUGUAGCAUAAGGCAUCAGAAUGCAGAGCAGGGAGAUGGUCACUCCUGUCCUCCUGAUACUCCCACGCCUGCUGGUGCCCAGGCAGCAGGAAGGAAGGAGGAAACUGCCUGACUUGAAUGCAAAAGAAGCUGGUCCACAGAGGGAUGACAAUGUACUCUUGUUACAGAUUACUCCAUCAGCUCAAGCAGCAGAGGUCUGUGCAGUGGAUCCAAAGAUUCCAACUCUGCUGAUGAUCCAUGUGGGUGUCAGUCUGAUGCCACAUGAUGGAAUUUCUGUUCUUCAGUUCAUUCAGGGCAGAGGCCAGACCUGCCCUGGGGAUGAAUCAGGGCUGUGUAGUGAAGGAAGCCAUUUUCUGUAGAACCCCUGCCUCAUUUGUUGCAGAAGUUAGAUGUGUAAUGACUGAGACAGAGAAUUUCAGGAACCAAAAGGAUGGUCUCAUGGGUAAGUCACUUGAAUGCAACCCUAGACAAAGAGAUUCUACCUGUGCCACAAAGUUCCUGUGUGAUGCUGGGCAAGUCACGUAAACUGAAACUUUGACAGGUGGCCAUUAUUUGAGUGUUCCUCAUUUUCUGGGGUCCUGACUUGAGAAUCCUGGGGUCUGAUUUGCAGAAGUGCUGAGCACUCACAACUGAAACUAAAGUAAAUUGAAGGUGUGCUUUGAAUAUCUUAAGUGCUAUAAAAAUGUUAGAUACUCUGAAAAAUCAGGUUCUAGAUUUCUUAAAUUUGGCACCCAAAAUUAGUGGAUACUUUUGACAAUUUUGGCCCCAAUUUGUCUGGCCCAGGACCUCACAGGCAUUUAGGCACCUAACGCCUAUUGAUUUCAGUGGGAGUUAGGUUCAUAAAUACCUGUGAGGAACUGGGCCUCUGACAUAAUUCUCCCAUCUGUAAAAUGGGGAUAACACCCCCAUUUCACUUCACAGCAGUGCUGUGAAGGUGAAUUAAUAUUUGUGAAGUACCUGGGCCACUUUACUUCUGAAGAGAGCACCCACAUAGGAGUUUAAUUUUAAUUAAUGUGCUUUAACUGCACAUCUUUAGUUAAUUCAUCUUCACUUCUCCGAGUGCUUUCAAGUAGACUUAUCCCUCUCCCAUCCUCCCCCUUAUCCACCCUUCCCCCCCUCUCCCUGGCAUAGUUGAAGGCAGCCUGAGAGACGCCUCCUGCUCACAGCAUUCCAUCCCAUACUCCUCUGGGGGUGAAGAAACUAUUUCUGUGGCUCAAAAGCCUUCAGGGAAUUAGGACAAAGGUUUUCUGUCAAGUGUUUCAUUGUUUCAUCACUGGAGGUUUUCCUUUGCUUCUAUCUCUUUUAUGAUACCAGUCUUUUCUCUUGACUAAAGCUUUAAUGGAAGAUCAAGCUCAUAUGGAGGGCCUGAUUCUUCACUGCCUUGUACAUUUGCACCUCUCCAAAGGAACUGUAAUAUUCUACCAAAUUGGAGCAAUAGUUUUAUAGCUAUUUGGUCCAGCUGUAAAUGAGAGUGAAGGUGUACAGCAAUGGAGAAUGAGUCUCUUCUCCAAACAGAAUGUCAACUGUCUCUGUUAUUAAGCCACUUCCACCCUAGUUUGCCAAGGCUACGGAGAUUCCAAUCCUCUCUCUUCCGAUGGCCAACACCUCUCACUGUUUUUGAUUAACCUUAAGGGGGCAUAGCCAAAAUAAGUACCAGAGCUCUAUUGUUGCCUGGCCUGCUACACCUCCAGCCAGAUGUCCUGGGCAUUUGGGAUAUUUGGACAGCAGCUAUCAUCAGGAAGAGCUCCUGCUCCCCACAAAAAUGCUCAGCAUUUUGAUACAGAAUACUGAUCUGUUUUGUGCAGAAGUAUUACUACAUAAUUAAAGCUAAAUUACUCAUCCAUUCACAGGAUUGCUAAAGGCAGCAAGAUUCUCUCACUGAAAGCAGAAGGAAAGACACCUAAUAAUGCCAUUACCUUCCAAUGUUCAGUGAAUACUUUAGUUGAUACCUGAGCUGGCUCCAAAAUCAUAUUCACCAUUCCAGCAAAUGUUACACAAUGGUACACAUUACUAGCAGAUAAAGCAAAACCUUGAUCCCCAGCUGCCGGUGGCUAAAUUAAUAUCAGUAUAAAUAGGCUGAUUAUAGGACACAUUUCUGAUUAUAUGCUGUAUUUGACAUGCUGUGUAAUUUUAUAUAUUUUGCUUGUGAAGCACUGAAAGAAUA